rnacentral:rRNA from 1 species
CGCCUUGCCAGCCCGCUCAGAAACUUAAAGGAAUUGACGGGGCCCGCACAAGCGGUGGAGUAUGUGGUUUAAUUCGAUGCAACGCGAAGAACCUUACCUGGUCUUGACAUCCCGGAGACCCUUAGGAAACUAGGGGGUGCUUCCAUCUGGAAGAAUCUGGAGACAGGUGCUGCAUGGCUGUCGUCAGCUCGUGUCGUGAGAUGUUGGGUUAAGUCCCGCAACGAGCGCAACCCUUGCCUUUAGUUGCCAGCAGUUCGGCUGGGCACUCUAAAGGGACUGCCGGUGUUAAACCGGAGGAAGUGGGGAUGACGUCAAGUCCUCAUGGCCUUUAUGACCAGGGCUACACACGUACUACAAUGGCCGAUACAAAGGGCAGCGACACUGCGAGGUGAAGCCAAUCCCGUAAAAUCGGUCUCAGUCCGGAUUGGAGUCUGCAACUCGACUCCAUGAAGUUGGAAUCGCUAGUAAUCGUGGAUCAGCAUGCCACGGUGAAUACGUUCCCGGGCCUU